CUGAUGGUCCACAAGGACGCCUUGGCCCGCUACGCAAAUGCAUAUUCUGCUGUUAAUGAGGAUUUCAGGUUCCAGAGGGCAUUCGUGGAUUCCAGAGUCCAGGCCUCACAGCCUGGACAGGAAGGCCAAGCCCUUGUUGGAUUUCACAGCUACAGGGCAGAGACACUGCAGGAACUGUAUGAGUCCAAGGACAAAGACCACAAUGGUUAUGUCAACUGGCUGAGGAAGCAGACACCCCGGAAUCCCGGGGACCCUAUGGAAGCAGCCCUUAAAUAUACCAGGCGCCGUGGAGGCAGCUGCACCCCCUUCUCCCCUUGCUGGGGUUAAGACAGCUUCAGGGCCUCUUGGUGCAGCGGUCUCUGCAUUUUUAGGGCAGCGUUCUGUGACCCCAGGUCAACUGCAGUCAACAGUCAGGAAGAUCCUUGCCAAAAAGACUGCAGUUCCCAGGGUGCCUGCUUCCAGACCAGCU